rnacentral:rRNA from 1 species
GUACACUCCUGCGGGAGGCAGCAGUGGGGAAUUUUGGACAAUGGGCGAAAGCCUGAUCCAGCAAUGCCGCGUGAGUGAAGAAGGCCUUCGGGUUGUAAAGCUCUUUUGUCAGGGAAGAAACGGUGAGAGCUAAUAUCUCUUGCUAAUGACGGUACCUGAAGAAUAAGCACCGGCUAACUACGUGCCAGCAGCCGCGGUAAUACGUAGGGUGCAAGCGUUAAUCGGAAUUACUGGGCGUAAAGCGUGCGCAGGCGGUUUUGUAAGUCUGAUGUGAAAUCCCCGGGCUCAACCUGGGAAUUGCAUGGGAGACUGCAAGGAUAGAGUCUGGCAGAGGGGGGUAGAAUUCCACGUGUAGCAGUGAAAUGCGUAGAUAUGUGGAGGAACACCGAUGGCGAAGGCAGCCCCCUGGGUCAAGAUUGACGCUCAUGCACGAAAGCGUGGGGAGCAAACAGGAUUAGAAACCCCUGUAGUCC